UUACAGCAAUAUGAUUACUCGAUAUUCUACCCAGUCUCAGCUUAUGAAUUCCAGUUCCCGCAGCCAGUUUGAUACCACCUCUUUUACUCAGCCUGACCAGCAGGUUAACCUAUCAUAUGAUAAUAGGAUUGGGGAUGCCCUUGGUCCACCUCUGUCACCAUCAUUCGAAGCUGGAAUCUCUUCUAUUCAGCAAGCGAAUCUUAUUCCUUAUGAGGACUGGUCCCAUAAUUGGGUGAAGGGUGUUGAUGACUCCUUACCUGAAAUGCUUGAAAAUGAUGAUAUGCAGCACUUGAUUUGGCCUUCCAGCAUGGGAUGUCACGACAAUAUGAUUACUCGAUAUUCGAAUCAGUCUCAGCUUAUGAAUUCCAGUUCCCACACCCAGUUUGAUACCACCUCUUUUACUCAGCCCGACCAGCAGGUUAACCUAUCAUAUGAUGAUAGGAUUAGGGUUGCCCUCGGUCCACCUCUGUCAUCAUCAUUCCAAGCGGGAAACUCGUCUAUUCAGCAAGCGAAUCUUAAUCCUUUUGAGGACUGUUCCUGUAAUCGGGUGGAGGGUGUUGAUG
rnacentral:lncRNA from 1 species